UGAUAUCUGUAUAAUAAAUAAGGAAGUUGUGUUUACAAUUAGCUCAGUAUUUACUUGUAUCUUGUCGCUACCACUACGUCAACAUGAAAAUAUUUAUCUGAGCUGCAUAUGCCCAGCGGUGUACCAGCCUGUCUGUGGCACCAAUGGGAGGACCUAUUCAAACCGGUGCCAGAUGAAAUGCUCAGGCGCAACGUACCAGAGAGACGGCACAUGUUAAGGAAAAAGAUCGACCGAUUCGAUAAUUAUGACGACCACAAGCUUUUUUCAUCAUAUAUUAAACGUAUUUUGACAUAA